rnacentral:rRNA from 1 species
GAUGAACGCUGGCGGCGUGCCUAAUACAUGCAAGUCGAGCGAACGGACGAGAAGCUUGCUUCUCUGAUGUUAGCGGCGGACGGGUGAGUAACACGUGGAUAACCUACCUAUAAGACUGGGAUAACUUCGGGAAACCGGAGCUAAUACCGGAUAAUAUUUUGAACCGCAUGGUUCAAAAGUGAAAGACGGUCUUGCUGUCACUUAUAGAUGGAUCCGCGCUGCAUUAGCUAGUUGGUAAGGUAACGGCUUACCAAGGCAACGAUGCAUAGCCGACCUGAGGGGGUGAUCGGCCACACUGGAACUGAGACCCGGUCCAGACUCCUACGGGAGGCAGCAGUAGGGAAUCUUCCGCAAUGGGCGAAAGCCUGACGGAGCAACGCCGCGUGAGUGAUGAAGGUCUUCGGAUCGUAAAACUCUGUUAUUAGGGAAGAACAUAUGUGUAAGUAACUGUGCACAUCUUGACGGUACCUAAUCAGAAAGCCACGGCUAACUACGUG